CGUACCCCAAACCGACACAGGUGGUCAGGUAGAGAAUACCAAGGCGCUUGAGAGAACUCGGGUGAAGGAACUAGGCAAAAUGGUGCCGUAACUUCGGGAGAAGGCACGCUGACACGUAGGUGAAGUGGUUUACCCAUGGAGCUGAAGUCAGUCGAAGAUACCAGCUGGCUGCAACUGUUUAUUAAAAACACAGCACUGUGCAAACACGAAAGUGGACGUAUACGGUGUGACGCCUGCCCGGUGCCGGAAGGUUAAUUGAUGGGGUCAGCGCAAGCGAAGCUCCUGAUCGAAGCCCCGGUAAACGGCGGCCGUAACUAUAACGGUCCUAAGGUAGCGAAAUUCCUUGUCGGGUAAGUUCCGACCUGCACGAAUGGCGUAAUGAUGGCCAGGCUGUCUCCACCCGGGACUCAGUGAAAUUGAACUCGCUGUGAAGAUGCAGUGUACCCGCGGCAAGACGGAAAGACCCCGUGAACCUUUACUAUAGCUUGACACUGAACACUGGUCCUUGAUGUGCAGGAUAGGUGGGAGGCUUUGAAGUGUGGACGCCAGUCUGCAUGGAGCCAUCCUUGAAAUACCACCCUUUAAUGGCUGGUGUUCUAACGUGGGCCCGUGAACCGGGUUGCGGACAGUGUCUGGUGGGUAGUUUGACUGGGGCGGUCUCCUCCUAAAGAGUAACGGAGGAGCACGAAGGUUGGCUAAUCCUGGUCGGACAUCAGGAGGUUAGUGCAAUGGCAUAAGCCAGCUUGACUGCGAGCGUGACGGCGCGAGCAGGUGCGAAAGCAGGUCAUAGUGAUCCGGUGGUUCUGAAUGGAAGGGCCAUCGCUCAACGGAUAAAAGGUACUCCGGGGAUAACAGGCUGAUACCGCCCAAGAGUUCAUAUCGACGGCGGUGUUUGGCACCUCGAUGUCGGCUCAUCACAUCCUGGGGCUGAAGUAGGUCCCAAGGGUAUGGCUGUUCGCCAUUUAAAGUGGUACGCGAGCUGGGUUUAGAACGUCGUGAGACAGUUCGGUCCCUAUCUGCCGUGGGCGCUGGAAGAUUGAGGGGGGCUGCUCCUAGUACGAGAGGACCGGAGUGGACGCAUCACUGGUGUUCGGGUUGUCAUGCCAAUGGCACUGCCCGGUAGCUACAUGCGGAAGAGAUAAGUGCUGAAAGCAUCUAAGCACGAAACUUGCCCCGAGAUGAAUCUUCCCUGAGCCUUUAAGGCUCCUGAAGGAACGUUGAAGACGACGACGUUGAUAGGCCGGGUGUGUAAGCGCAGCGAUGCGUUGAGCUAACCGGUACUAAUGAACCGUGAGGCUUAACCUUACA
rnacentral:rRNA from 1 species